ensembl:lncRNA
AGGGUGGGUGAAGCUGUUUAGAGUGUUCACUGCUGCUGUGAAAAGCUUGCAACUGUUUCAGUUAUUACUCAGAAAUGACCAGCACACCUAAGACUUAAAGUCACUAAUCAGACUCAAAGAAAACUGCCAGGCCUUCUGGAAGGUUAUAGAAAGCAUCUACCCGGUGUCCUAUUGGCACAAAAGAACUUAGAAUUCUUUCUCUGGCUUUUUUGUUUUCAUUGUUUCUUCCCUUUCAUGUUCAUUCUGCACCUGAAACCUACUUAAUUAUUCACCACCACCUUCUCCAUGCCUCAUCAAUAAUGGAUAACACCUGCGAUGGAAAACUCCCCCAGCAGCGCAAAGGCGGUUGAGAUGGAAGCAUGAAGAGGAAGAGCCACCUGCCACACCCAAGGGAGAAACCAAGCACUGAGACACCAGUCUGUCUCAAGGCCUGGUCUCUCCCGCACGGCUCCCCCAUACCAGCAAGGCCCCUUAACUCUGUGCUUACCAGACUUUUUGCAUCAUGGCACACAGGGAAAUGUUAAUAUUUGUACAAUACACUGGGUCACACAGAGAGGACCUGGAGGCCAUGAUGAGGCUGCACAAGGGCUGAAGACAACGUGCCUAGUGGCCCAGGUGACUCCCCAUCCCCAAAGUCCGGGAGGAUCAUCAGCACUGGUUGAAAAGCGCUGCCUUAAUUUAUGAAAGGGUCUUUACAGCAAAUUCUUUUGACAAUGGCAGUCCCUUGGGAAUAAAGUUAAACAACUUCUCCUUCUGAGCAGUCCACCAUGGACCUACUCUUUCUUCAGGACAACACCUCCUCUUCUCCAUUUCCACAGCCUGCCCUAGUCCCAGCUUUCUCUGGUGUGGCCCCCUGCCCCAUCUCCAUGCUGGCUCUCACACACCUUCCCUUUUAUGCCACUUUGGUUUCACCAUCCAUCGAUCACUUCGGGAUCUGCAAAUCUGCCUCCUCGCAGCCAGACAACGAAACAAACGCAGCCCAGGAGUUGGUAAUGGUUGACAAGAUCAGUAGGAAAGGACAAGGCCAGCAGCCGCUCUGCCCUAAAUCUGAAAUCCAGUAGCUGACAUGGGACGAUGCCAGAUACCAAAUGUGGCAGGCAGCCUUCUCAAAUGGCUCCCAAUCAUUUCUACCUCCUGGUAUUCAGCCUCUUGGGUAAAUCUCCUCCCUGGGGAGGGAGCAUGGCAGAGUGACUUACUCUAAGCAAUAAAAUACAGCAAAGAUGACAGGAUAUCACCUGUGAUUGGGUUACAAAAAACCAUGACUUCCAUCUUGCUAUCAGACUCCAUAACCUUCUUAUCCUGCAUACUUUAUGAAGCAAGAUGCCAAGUGUCAGAGAGUUCUAAAAAUGUUUAUUGAAUGAGUGGAUGAUAAAUUGUAAGAUGCACUUUCAACUUUUGAUUAAGGACAGUAGUCACAAACUCUCUGUAGUUCACUGGCAAAACAAGGAACAGCAUAGCUUUGAGGCCGUAUUUCUUAUUCCUAUAUAUAGCUGGUGUUCAACAAAACACAAAGGUAUUAGCAGAGAAACAGCUAUGACAGCUCAGCUCAAUCACUUUGCAUAGCAGAUGGUUGAGAACACAUUUAUAUCUCUGAUACUAUUUGCUUGUGUAAGAAGUUUCCCAUCCUUUUCUGAGGUCUGCCUGGAAAAUACACUGGGUUCCAUUCCUGCUGCCCUGGCAGCGGGUCCUUUGGUUCUAAGGUUAUGCUUUUGAAUAAGCUUCUGGGAUGUUGACUUAGAGGGUCUGCCAGCCCCAUUUUUCUAAACAGUCUGGAUCAUAUAAGAAAACAAAGUUAGUUUUAGAGCCGACACUGGAAUGUAUACUCUUCUGCAGCAGGUAAGGGGAAAAUCAGAGAUAAGGAUGCUUGGAGUGUUUUUCCUCUUAACACCACACACAGACUGGGGCUAACUAUCCUAGAACCACCCUUCUUCCCUUCCCUAAGAAUACAUCACAUUUCAGCCAAGAAUCGAUCCACUUGGGGAAACAGGGCUCCAACUGAACACAUAUUAAUUCCAAAUUCUGUCUACUUGAUUUCAGAUCCCAUUUCAACUUCAUCCUUUGCUAACCACAUCCUGGAAAAAUUUUGUCUGGCCAGAACUCUGCAAGGUGUAAUCAGCAAGAGGAAAUCUCUCAGUUCAGAAUACCUUAACAAGAAUCCUUCACAAAAAAUGGAAUCCUUUGGCAGCAAGACAGUUCUUUUCACUUGUCCUUGUAAGCUUGACAACACAACAGCAAGGUCGACAGGAUAAGAUGCUGCUAACAAGUCUUAAUGAAUUAGCAUGUGCACUUGACCUUGAUCAGAAGU